AUGAUAAUAUAAGUUAUAAUAUAACAUAAUUAAAAAGCCAUGGUCAUACGUUUCUCUUUCACCGAAUAUGAAAAUAGAAAGAAAAAUAAAAAGAAGCUAGGUUUCGGUUAUAUUCAAGCUUGAUUAAGAUCAAGAACAAAAGAAAUCAGACUUGGAUCGGGGAAAAACAAAAAUAGUCGAAUAGUAGAUUUACAUCGUUCGUCGAUAUCCGUGAUUUUGGAAGUUAGCAUAGGCUCGGGGAUCGUCAAUGAAGUCAUCCACACUAUCACCAACUUUUGGUACUAUUAAAAGUCUUAUUUCGAACUUAUGGCAUGUAUAAGCUAAUAUGUAUUUUGUCCGAUCUUGGAUAUGUAUAAAUUGAGCCAUACGAAUAUGGCUUGACUCCUAUGCUUGAAUUUGGUUUUGCUUGAUUAUAGUUUAAGUUCAUCUUUGGUUAAAAUGCUAUGUGUCUUGGUUGACUUAUGAUAUGUGUUUGGGAUUUAUUUUGGUAUAUGUGUUGUAUGAUAUGUUUUGUAUUUGAGAUUGGUUUACUAAAUUUAGAUUAGUAUUGAAGUGAAA